GCAGACUUCAUAGAAUCUUUUCUAUAGUAAACAUUCACAACUGUAUUUCUUAAAUGAGCUACAGACUCCAACCUGGCUGAUGAGUCGAACCGCGGUGCCCAAGAGUGAAGCCACUGUAUUCACAGCUUGCUGUGGAUGGCAAUGAUCUCGCCCUGCUUGAGCGUCUGGCUUCGGCCGGCUCUUGCAGGUGGGUGCUGUCGGUCGUCUGACAGGU
rnacentral:snoRNA from 1 species